UACGUAGGUGGCGAGCGUUGUCCGGAUUUACUGGGCGUAAAGGUAGCGUAGGCGGACUUUUAAGUGAGAUGUGAAAUACCCGGGCUCAACUUGGGUGCUGCAUUUCAAACUGGAAGUCUAGAGUGCAGGAGAGGAGAAUGGAAUUCCUAGUGUAGCGGUGAAAUGCGUAGAGAUUAGGAAGAACACCAGUGGCGAAGGCGACUUACUGGACUGUAACUGACGCUGAGUCACGAAAGCGUGGGUAGCAAACAGGAUUAGAUACCCGCGUAGU
rnacentral:rRNA from 1 species